GUACACGCUGUGACUAGCAUAUCAAUAAGCGGAGGAAAAGAAACUAACAAGGAUUCCCCUAGUAACGGCGAGUGAAGCGGGAAGAGCUCAAAUUUGAAAUCUUAAAGGGUUUCCCUUUACGAAUUGUAGUUUAAAGAAGUGUUUUCUGUUGAGGUUUUGGUAAAAGUUCUUUGGAAUAGGACAUCAUAGAGGGUGAGAAUCCCGUAUUUGACCUUUACUUUCAACUUUGUGAUACACUUUCAAAGAGUCGGAUUGUUUGGGAAUGCAGUCCAAAAUGGGUGGUAAAUUUCAUCUAAAGCUAAAUAUUGGCGAGAGACCGAUAGCGAACAAGUACCGUGAGGGAAAGAUGAAAAGAACUUUGAAAAGAGAGUUAAACAGUACGUGAAAUUGUCAAAAGGGAAGCGUUUGACAUCAGUGUUGUUUUUCUGAAAAUCAAUUAAAGAACUGUUUAUGCUAAGCUGUUUAGACUUUAUCAGCUAUCUGUUUAGUUUUGAGCUUUUCUUUAAUGCACUUUUCAGUCAACAAGUCAACAUCAAUUUCUUUUGCUGUAAAAAAGCUUGAGGAAGGUGGCUUGAGAUUCGUCUUAAGUGUUUAUAGCCUCUUGCCUAUGCAGUCGGAGAGAUUGAGGUCUGCAGCGUAGAUCCUUCGGGGCUAAAUGCAUUUGUGCUAAGUUAUAGCAUUUUAUAGACAACUUGUUGACUAUGAUUUGUCUUGUAGCUUACUCGCUUAUGUUAUUUUACCUACGCUUAGGAUGUUGAAGAUGUAGCACAUCAU
rnacentral:rRNA from 1 species